GCUGUUUGUUGGCUAAUGCAAAGGUUACAAAGCGUUAUGCCGUUUUCCAGCGAAGCGCCCGCCCUGAAAAAGACAUGACAAUUAUGUAAAGAAACCUGACCUUCGCUCCUUCGUUCACCUUCCAACUUCCUCUCCAACUUCCUCUCCUCCUUUCUCUUGUUAUUGUCGUGUCUUUUUACUUCCUCAUUGAAUCAAACAAAGAAGCCACAGACCAACAAUCGUGAGGUUGUAAAGGAGGGGGUGAGAGAGUGUGUUCUAGGAGAGAAUGAGCUUUCGAGGAGAUGACAGCAGCGGAGAGGAGGGGCGGUCGGAGCUGCAGAAACCAUUGCUGCACACGGGCAGCUGGUACAGGAUGGGUAUGGGCUCCCGGCAAUCGAGUUUGAUGGAGAAGCUCGGCUCCUCUGCCUCUGUCAUUCGCGACUCUUCCAUCUCCGUUGUACUCUGCACCCUUAUCGUCGCCCUCGGCCCCAUACAGUACGGAUUCACUAGCGGUUACUCCUCCCCCGCGCAGUUUGACGUCAUACGCGACCUCUCCCUCACUAUCUCUGAGUUCUCGAUCUUUGGAUCUUUAUCAAACGUGGGCGCAAUGGUUGGGGCUAUCUCUAGCGGCCAGAUUGCCGAAUACAUUGGGCGAAAAGGGUCCCUGAUGAUUGCUUCGAUACCGAACAUUAUCGGUUGGUUGGCUAUUUCGUUUGCCAAGGAUUCUUCGUUCUUGUACAUGGGCCGGCUGCUGGAAGGAUUUGGCGUUGGCAUCAUAUCCUACACGGUACCCGUUUACAUAGCAGAGAUUGCUCCUCGGAACAUGAGAGGAGGGCUCGGUGCAGUCAAUCAGUUGUCUGUAACUAUUGGUAUAAUGGUCGCCUAUCUCCUGGGCAUGUUUGUAAAUUGGCGGGCGCUUGCUGUGAUAGGAAUUUUGCCAUGCACAAUCCUCAUACCUGGUCUGUUUUUCAUCCCCGAAUCUCCGAGGUGGUUGGCUAAAAUGGGAAUGAUGGAUGAUUUUGAAGCAUCCCUCCAAGUCUUGAGGGGUUUUGAUGCUGAUAUUAGUGUAGAAUUGAAUGAAAUCAAGCGAUCUGUCACAACAUCAUCAAGCAGAAGGACUGCAAUACGGUUUCAUGAUCUCAAGCAGAAAAGAUAUAAAGUUCCUCUUAUGAUAGGAAUUGGUCUUCUUGCACUGCAGCAAGCAAGUGGAAUCAAUGGCAUCUUGUUUUAUGCUUCUAGUAUCUUCAAAGCUGCAGGGAUUUCAUCUAGUAACAUAGUUACAUGCGGGCUUGGAGCUAUUCAGGUUCUCGCCACUGGAACUAAUGCAUGGUUGUUAGAUAAAGCUGGUCGUCGAUUAUUUCUCAUAAUCUCCACUUCUGGGACGUCUGCUAGUCUUAUCCUUGUUUCGAUAUCAUUCUUUAUCAAGGGUUCUGUUCCAGAAGGUUCGGACUUGCAUUCUGUGCUCAGUGUGCUCUCAUUGGUCGGACUUGUGGGUUUUGUCAUUUUCUUUUCACUUGGGCUGGGCGCCAUUCCAUGGGUCGUAAUGUCAGAGAGAAUCUUACCAAUAAGAGCGGAGGACCAGGCCUCCAAUGUGGACGCGGCGCCCUCUGUUUUGGGAUGUGCUCGGGGCCUGCUUUGUGGCGGGGCUAAAGGUGUCUUCCGGCCCAAGCCCACGAGGGUGGCGUAAAUCGAGCGGGGCUUACGCGCGAAUACAACCGGAGUGCAGUACACGCCUCACGGGAUGUACGCCUCGCCUCCUAAUCGAAUAAAAAGGGUAAAAAAUCUCUAAUUUUAAAUACCUAUCUCAUUCGAGCUUCUCCCGCACGCAAUCAUCCCCUACAGACACAACUUCCUCCAUCGCAUGCAGAGUCGAAGAGGAUUCUGCCGUCGUCUGCUUCGUUCCUCGCACCGCACCCACAGAAAAUUCCGUAGCAUGCUUGUCUGCUUUGUCUCACUUGUUCUCGCACGUAAGCGAUCUUCGUCUCGCACGCGGGCCCUUGCAUGCAGGCUCUGUCACGCACGCUUGGAUUACGUUCGUCAGCGUUGUCUUCUCCCGCAGCGGCAUUGUUUCUCCUGCAGCGACGCAACCAGUGAGAUUCUUCCGGUCAAUAUCAAAGGCCUUGCUGGAAGUGUGGCGACAUUAGCCAAUUGGUUGACUGCUUUUAUCAUCAC